AGUGAACGCUGGCGGUAGGCCUAACACAUGCAAGUCGAACGGCAGCACAGUAAGAGCUUGCUCUUACGGGUGGCGAGUGGCGGACGGGUGAGGAAUACAUCGGCAUCUACUUUUUCGUGGGGGAUAACGUAGGGAAACUUACGCUAAUACCGCAUACUACCUACGGGUGAAAGCAGGGGAUCUUCGGACCUUGCGUGAUUGAAUGAGCCGAUGUCGGAUUAGCUAGUUGGCGGGGUAAAGGCCCACCAAGGCGACGAUCCGUAGCUGGUCUGAGAGGAUGAUCAGCCACACUGGAACUGAGACACGGUCCAGACUCCUACGGGAGGCAGCAGUGGGGAAUAUUGGACAAUGGGCGCAAGCCUGAUCCAGCUAUACCGCGUGGGUGAAGAAGGCCUUCGGGUUGUAAAGCCCUUUUGUUGGGGAAGAAAAGCAGCAGGUUAAUACCCCGCUGUUCUGACGGUACCCAAAGAAUAAGCACCGGCUAACUUCGUG
rnacentral:rRNA from 1 species